rnacentral:misc_RNA from 1 species
GUGAAUCAUCAAAUUUUUGAACGCAAAUUGCACUCUCUUCGGAGAGUAUGCCUGUUUGAGGGUCAGCCUAAAAAAAAAUCGCCAUCGUUGCUGUUUCGCGGUGGCGUUCGUCGGAAAUUGGGUUAUCUUAAUUUUUUGGUUUAAGCGACUUAAAUUUUUCUUUACGUUUCCUUGAAGUUUUCAAAGUUUUAUUUCUUUACACGUUUAAGGAUUGGUUUUAAUUAGCCGUGG